rnacentral:rRNA from 1 species
GACGAACGCUGGCGGCGUGCUUAACACAUGCAAGUCGAACGAUGAAGCUGGAGCUUGCUCUAGCGGAUUAGUGGCGAACGGGUGAGUAACACGUGAGCAAUCUGCCCUUGACUCUGGGAUAACUGCGGGAAACUGUAGCUAAUACCGGAUACUUUCACCGGGGGGCAUCCUCUGGUGAUGAAAGAAUUUCGGUCAAGGAUGAGCUCGCGGCCUAUCAGCUUGUUGGAGAGGUAACGGCUCACCAAGGCGACGACGGGUAACCGGCCUGAGAGGGUGACCGAUCACACUGGGACUGAGACACGGCCCAGACUCCUACGGGAGGCAGCAGUGGAGAAUAUUGCACAAUGGGCGCAAGCCUGAUGCAGCAACGCCGCGUGAGGGAUGAAGGCCUUCGGGUUGUAAACCUCUUUUAGCAGGGAAGAAGCGAAAGUGACGGUACCUGCAGAAAAAGCACCGGCUAACUACGUGCCGGCAGCCGCCGCGG